rnacentral:lncRNA from 10 species
AUUAUUCACAACAGCCAAGAUGUAGAGGUGAUUCAAAUGUCCAUCAGUGAAUGAAUAGAUAAAGAAAUGUGGUAUAUACAUACAAUGGAAUCUUAGCCUAAAAAAGAAAGAAUUCCUGUCAUAUGCUACAGCAUGGAUGAACCUUGAGGACCUUAUGUCCGAGGAUGAACACACAAGAGAUUCACAGGAACAAACCAGACCACUGACUUGCUGCACUGAAGUUGCAAUACUUCUGAGACGUAGAUCUCCUUAUUAAUCUAGCUCAGUGUUUUGUUACCUGCAGCACAGAAACACUUUCCCUGAAAAACAGAUACAACUUUUAAAGCAUAAUUUUUAUUCUUUAGGUAUUCUGAUCUCACCCCACAGGCCUUGGAAACCUGAGGCAGUAUUCUUCUGGGAUGUUUCCAACUAGGCUUCCCAUGAGGAUGUUAGAGCCAGCCUGGCUGGUGAAUUUUACUUCUCUCACCUCUCAGAGGUAAGAGGUCUGAGAGGCUCAGGCCCUUCCAGCUUUUGAGGAUUCCAGCAUAGUAGAAACAUAAAAAGGUCCAAAGGGAAUUACAAAAAUAAUCUAUUUUCAGUUCUUAUACUUAACAAGUCAAUUCUUAUUAAAAAAAUAAAUCAAUCA